ACAUAAAGGGUGCUUCCGCCGACGUCAGGCGCACCGUUUCUACACCACGCCUUUCUUUCCCCUGCUGGUUAGCACUCACUCAGUGUCACUUGGAGGAGACAAGAUGGUUCCCCCGGUGCAGGUGUCCCCGCUCAUCAAGUUCGCCCGAUACUCUGCACUGUUGCUUGGUAUGGCGUAUGGAAGCGCAAGAUUCUCAUAUUUAAAACCAAUUGCUGAACAGGACAGAAUAAUAGAAGCAGAGGAGAAAAAGAAGCAGGAGGAAGCAGCUCGCAUUGCAAGAGAAUUGGCUGCCCAAGAAGACACUAUUCUGAAGUGAAAUUCCCAACAGGAGCUGCCUCAAUAUACCUUCCAGGGACACUGAAGUCAAUUGCUGUUGUUGCAUAAACAGUUCUGGAAACUGCUUUUGUAAAUGUGCUUAAGAUUUCCAUGAACCAUUCAAUAAAAAUUCUGUUGUGUA